CCCCUCUCAGGAUGGAACCUGGAGAGUUUCCAGGAUUCUAUCAGUCUUGGCUACAAAGGGAGAGUCAAGCAGAGGCCUAUCCAUUCCAUUCCUAGCUUGACCAGUGGCUAGUGAGUGGAAGGCAAUCUGCUACAAGU